rnacentral:rRNA from 1 species
GUAGGUGGCAAGCGUUGUCCGGAAUUAUUGGGCGUAAAGCGCGCGCAGGCGGUCCUUUAAGUCUGAUGUGAAAGCCCACGGCUCAACCGUGGAGGGUCAUUGGAAACUGGGGGACUUGAGUACAGAAGAGGAAAGCGGAAUUCCAAGUGUAGCGGUGAAAUGCGUAGAGACUUGGAGGAACACCAGUGGCGAAGGCGGCUUUCUGGUCUGUAACUGACGCUGAGGCGCGAAAGCGUGGGGAGCAAACAGGAUUAGAUACCCUGGUAGUCCACGCCGUAAACGAUGAGUGCUAAGUGUUAGGGGGUUUCCCGCCCCCUUAGUGCUGCAGCUAACGCAUUAAGCACUCCGCCUGGGGAGUACGGCCGCAAGGCUG